GGCCCGUUCGUCUAGGGGUCAGGACGUCGGCCUCUCACGCCGGUAACAGGGGUUCGAAUCCCCUACGGGCUA
rnacentral:tRNA from 1 species